AGCUCCAAUAGCGUAUAUUAAAGUUGUUGCAGUUAAAAAGCUCGUAGUUGAACCUUGGGCCUGGCUGGCCGGUCCGCCUCACCGCGUGCACUGGUUCGGCCGGGCCUUUCCCUCUGGGGAACCUCAUGGUCUUCACUGAUCGUGAUGGGGAACCAGGACUUUUACUGUGAAAAAAUUAGAGUGUUCAAAGCAGGCCUAUGCUCGAAUACAUUAGCAUGGAAUAAUAAAAUAGGACGUGUGGUUCUAUUUUGUUGGUUUCUAGGACCGCUGUAAUGAUUAAUAGGGACAGUCGGGGGCAUCAGUAUUCAAUUGUCAGAGGUGAAAUUCUUGGAUUUAUUGAAGACUAACUACUGCGAAAGCAUUUGCCAAGGAUGUUUUCA
rnacentral:rRNA from 1 species